UAUGACCAUAUCACAUUGAAACUGAUUCUCAUACGAUCACUAAAGUUAAGCAAUGUCAAGCCUGGUCAGUAUCUUGAUGGGUGACCGCUUGGGAAUACCAGGUGCUGUAAG